rnacentral:lncRNA from 1 species
UUUUUUUUUUUUUUUUUAAGAUUACUUAUUUAUUCAUGAGAGACACGUGGAGGCAAAGAUGUAGGCAGAGGGUGACGCAAGCUCCUCAAAGGGAGCCUGAUGUGGGACUCGACCCUAGGACCCCGGAACCACGCCCUGAGCCGGAGGCAGAUGCUCAACCACUGAGCAAUCCAGGCGUCCCUGAAGCAUAAACGUUUUUUAAUUUUGAUAAUUUUAUCUAUUGUGUGUUGCUGUUUUUGGCGUCAAAUUUAAGAAACCACUGCCAAAUCCAAAGUCACAGACAUUUACUCCUGUGCUUUCUGCUAAGUUUUAUAGUUUUAGCUACUACAUUUAGGUUUUCAAUCCAGUUUAAUUUUUGUAUAUGAUGUAAGGUAUGAGCCCCACUUUUUUUUCCCUGUCAAUAUCCCAUUGUCUCAACACCAUUUCUUUAGAAGGUUAUUCCUCUGUUGAAAGGUCUUGGUACCCUUUUUGAAAAUCAAUUAACUUUAAAUUUGUAGCAUUGUAUUUCUUGUGUUGAAUCUGCGUAUCAAUUUGGAAAGUACUGCCAUCUCAGUAAGUGUUUUGAUUCACAAACCAGGGAUGGAUGUUUAAUUUCUUUCAGCAAUAUUUUGCGAUUUUCAGUGUACAAGUCUUGCAUUUCUUUGGUUAGAUUUAUUCCUAUUAUAUUCUUUUAAAAUGGAUGCUAUGUAAUUUUCUUUACAUGUUUCGUAUCUUUUAUUGCCAAUAUACAGAAAUGUGAUAAAAAUGUUUUUGUAUAGAAACCAUACUACUGAGUUUCAUGAAAUAAGAGAAAGGAUAAUUUCUUUAAUCACUUAAUAUAGAUUUUUGCUUCUUUUGAAUCUGUACUAUCCACUGUGUUGAAGACAUAUAUAUACUUUAACUUCUUUUCAAAGACUGGAUGAACUUCCUCUCAGGAAACCCGUGAUUCUCAGUUUAUUUCUUAGUGAUGGUGGCUAUUUUAAAAAAGCCAACCUUCUUGAAACAGGAAUGUAAAAUGUUCUUAGGAGCCUUUAAUAUAGAAAGAGACGAGCAUUUGACACAACCAUCUCUUUGAUCAGUUUCUAGAAUUUCAAGAGUAUAAAGGAAUGAAUGGGAGAAGUAAAGGAGGCAAAAAAUCUAUAAUGUGAAUAUAAGAAAAAUAUAAAAUUAAAUAAUUCUUUUAUGUUUUAAAUGUAACUAGAUGUUUGUACUAAAUACAUACAUUUUAUUAAUUUUAAGAACUAAUAGAGUUACAUUUUUCAAAAAAGCAUGAGUAGCCAUUGUUAUUAUUUUGGGACCAUACAAAAUGUCCAAAGUAUAUUUUAUUUGCAAUUUUCAUUCUAACCUGUAGAAUAAUGUGAGAAAGCUAAAACAGGUAUUGCAAAACACCAUUAUACAAGGAGCAAAUUGAAAUCAUACAUAUUAUUGAGUGAUUUUCUAGAUCCAAAUGAGGUCUCAGGUUUUCCAACUCCUAAAUGCAGACAACUUUAUGAUUUAGUUGUGUAGAAACAAUGUACGCAAUUCCAAAAAAUAUUAAAACAUAUUUGAAAAUGACUAACUCAAAGUAAUCCCUUGAUCAUAGUACAAAGAUACAGAAAGUGCUGAGUACUCAAGAUUAAGAUUUAUCUGACGAUUUCACCAAGAGAGAGUGCCACCUAUGGAUUUAAAGAAGGAAGACUUAGUAGGAUUAAAAGGAUCUUUAUAGAUUUUGUAUUUUGUUUCCCAAGGCUAAGUCUGCACUAGAAUUCCCUCUAAAGUUUAUUUUAAAAGGGAGUCCCGGGCCUUGUCACUGUACCAUGUGUUUGAUAGUCGGAGUGGAGAAUUUUUUUUAACACUCCAUUCUUCUAUAUGAUAAAAUUAGUUUUGGGAAGCAUCAUGAAACUAGUAGAAGUAAUGGCCACAAGAGACAGUGAAAAUUUUUUUUGAAAUUUCAUAUGAAUUCCAUACUUGAAACUAAUAUUACACUGUAUACUAGCUGGAAUUUAAGUAAAAACUUGCAAAGAAAAAGAGAUUUCAUAUGAUCAAGGCAGUCAAUAAUUAGAAGUUAAAAUAACUAUUACAAAGGGGAAAAGAAAAGCACUUUUCAAUAGUUUUUGUAUCUUCCUAAGAGUUUUUUAACACUGAUCUUGUUAGCAGAUCAAUAUGGCAUUUUAUGCAGAUAAUUGUCUAGUAACUGAAGUAAAUUUUAGUAAAGUUGGUACAUCAAAAGAUACUUUAGGGUAACUACUAUUAAGGACAAAUCCAAUUUUAAAGAUAUUCUUUAAAUUCUGCAAGUUGUUUCACAAGAACUAAAUUUUGCAUGUACCAAGUAGUCCCACAGAAUGACACAAUGAGAUGACAGGAUGGAGUUAAAAGCCCACGACUAUAGAAGGGACAGAACAGUGACUGGAGAGGAGGCUAAGUAGGUGCAGAUGGGUUUGCAGACUUUAAGGCAGAAGGGUGAACAAGUUUUUUUCUCAUAGCUUCUAUUUCCUCAGUGAUGUAGGAGGUGAGAUUAUUUACCCAGAAUGAAAGAAUUGCAAAGGGGGAUGGGUUAGGGAUUUAAGAACAGUUUGACAGUUUGACAGAGUAAAAGGAGCUGACCACUAGGGAAACAGAGCACAGAAGAGUGAGGCAGGGAUUGGAUGUGAGGUUUCCAGAUGACCAGUUCGAUGCUCCUUUUAAUAAACCACAUUGAACAGCAAUGUAAUGGGACAGAUGCUAGCUACACUUGUGGUAAAUAUAGCACAAUAUUAUAAACUUGCCAAAUCAAAGUUGUACACCUACAACUAAUGUAACGUUGUGUCAAUUAUACUCAAAUUAAAAAAUAAACAAACCGCAUUGAAAGAAUGCCUCCUGGGGAAAGUUUUUUUGCAUGCAUGGACAGCAGGUAGUGUUAACUGAAACAAAAGGAUGAUCUGAGGAAGUAAUAUCAAAAUUAGAAAAUUUUGAAUUAAAAAAAAAUCUUGAAUUUUGUGUACAACAAUGUAGAAUCACUUGAAGUCGCAAGAGUAAGGACACAUUUUUAAGGAUCUUGAGGUUUGGAAAAUGCAGAAAUAUGUACACACAGAAAGGAAAUAUCGCCUAUUUUUACUUAUUUAAAAAGCUUCGUUAGACUUCAUUUGAAUGUUUACCAUUGCUCUCGUACAUACAUAAAAAGGAAAAUAUAAGUAAAUAUUAUACAAGUAAUAUAAGUAAAUAAAAUACAUUGCUUUUUCCAUACGAUUCAUCCUUUUCACCAACCAGUGAAAGCAUUGGCAACAGGUAUUUCCUGUGAAUCCAUAACGGAGCAAGUCAUGGUGCUACUCUCCUGUACUGGCUUUGCAAUUCUUUAGACAAAGCAUGCUUUGGACUGCCUUUCAUUAUGCUGUCCAACAUGUCUGAUUCAUCAUCUUUCCCAUCCCUCUCCACAAACUUUUGAUACCUUGUGUUCAAAAGAACGCUCCACCAUUGUUCUUAGGACUUUUUUUCUAAGCUAGUGUUUUUGAUAUCUUGAAUAAACAGGUAAUGGAGGCAGUUGGUUAACAAGAUUGUACGGCCCUAUCCAUUGUUAAAUGCACACAAAUUUCAGAGAUGUCAACAUAUGAAAAAAAUAGUGCAACUUAAAAAUAGGACAGUAGUUCUAUAUUUUAAUUUAGAAUAUUUCCCUUGUCAUUAGUUUUCUAAAAUACAAUUUUAAAGGCUGCAAUUCAUUUCAUUAUGGGUGCACCAUGCUUUAGUCUGUGGUUCUGUGAAGGGCGUGACUGGCCCUUUGGGAACAUCACAACGUGUCCAGAGACAUUUUGGGCUGUCAUCACUGAGGAAGCCACUGGAAUCUAGUGGGUAAAGGUUAGAAAUGUUAAGCAUCCUGAAACGUAGACGGCGGCCCCUUAUAACAAAUUAUCUGGCCCCAAAUCCUAUUAGUGCUGAGAUUCAGAAGCCUAGUGCUAGACUUAAAAUUUUUCAGUUUUUCCCUCCUUCAGGAAACCACCAUAUUAAGGGACAGCAUAGUAUAGUGUUUAAAGAUAUUGCCUGUUGAAUUGGCUGGGCUCAUAUUAGCCAUAACAGUUACUAGCUGAAGAACAUUACCUAGAAGGAAUUAGUAAUCUAACUUCUCAAUUCCCCAUCUGUGAAUAUAGAGAAAAUUAAUUGAAAGUGGAUAGUACUAUCAAGACAAAUAGGUUUAUAAAUGUAAAGCCCAUGUCUGUCAUCUAAGAUACACUUACUAGUGUUGGACUGGCUUCAGUUAGGUUAUGAUUUUUUUUUUUAAUAAACAUAAUCACAAACUUCACUAUGGAGGGGUGUAGUCUAAAUAGGAAGAACUGAUGGAAAAAUCAGAAGCAAAGAAUUUCAAGGUUUGGGGCCUAUGUCACCAUUCCAAAAAGUUUCAAGUCACUGGAAGUUUGUAAAAUCAAUUUAGUGGGUCAAGACUAGCAUUGGAACAAAGAUAGAUUAGAAAAUAUCAUGGUGCAUUCCAAAACUCUUUUCAUAAAAUAGGGUUUCAUUGAUAGAAGCUUCAAUGUAUGCACCAGGUCACAAUGUUAAAAUGUAUUUUGUAACGUGAGUCACAAUAAAAGACCUUUGAAAGGCACCACCCUUAGUCCAACUACCACUUGAUGUUUCAGUCUAAUCUAUAUCUGCAUGAACUGAUGAGCUUCUGCUUUAAGACAGUCCGGCUGUAUCUUUGGACAUUUUAUUAAAAAAGCUCUUUAAGGUAAUGAGAAACAAACUUAAUGUGAAAAAUGACUAAAAAUAUUUUGUCUCAAUCUAUCGCUUUAAAUCUGUUGGGAAAUUAAGCAUGCUGGAAGUACUGUAUGUGCCGUGGCAUUGGAAACAGUGUUGCUCACUAGCUCAUCAAGCUCAUCACUAGCUUUGAAGAUAAAUAGCCAUAAGUUUACUAUCAUCAUUAUCAUGAAUAAUAUGUGAGUACCAACAGACCAAUUGAGUAAGGCAGCUUUAAUGUCUAUAAACAAUACUAAAAACAUUAACUUAAUAACCAUAGUGCCAGAAGUCUCUAAGUAGUACAUGAGCAUGUUUUAUGCAUCAUUGGCUAUGAUCUUAAAAACAAAAUCCAAAACUUUUUAAAAGGAGUUAAUCUUUAAAAAUGAUUAACUGAUUCAUUCUUUGAAAAAAGUCAAAUUAUGUUAAUCGCAGUUGCUGGCUGGCUGAAUAUAACCUAAAAGAAAAUGAGGGUAGUGACACUAUGUUGAGAAAUACCUAAUGCAUGCAUAAUAAAAUCCCAAAUCAGGCAGAGUUAACAAAAUUACACUGUAAACUGUGAUCUCCCCAAUAUCGUGAUGUAUUCUGGAUAAGGAAUUAAUGUUAUUUAAAUCUGUUACUACAGUGAUCUUUGAAUGAUCCCUUAUACAAACCUUUUAGAUAUUUGAGAAGAGGAAUUUCCCCUAAUAAUUUCUUAGUCAACCUUCAAUAUAAGUAUUUUAUUAAUUGCUAUGUGCCAAGCCCUCUAGAAAGUUCUAGGAACUUAAAAAUAGAAAAAAUUCAUAGUUCCUAAACUUAAGAGUUUCAUAGACUUAGAGAAACUAAAAUUUAUAGUUGUGUAGUAUGAAGCAGAGGUAGGUAGUAGGAUAUGUGGAUCACUAUUAUUGCCCAGAAGUUAGAAGUUGGCUGAUGUCCAAGCUGUUUUUAAAAAUGACUUUGAAAAAAUGGGCAAAAUGGGAUGAACAAUCGUGGAUGAGGAAACUCCUAAGUGUAAAAGGCAAAAGUGCCAGGAGAAAUAGCAGGAGAGAUUGGUUGCUACAUAAUGGGUUGGAUGGAGUAAACAGUAAAGACUAGUUGAGGUGAGUCCAAGUAUAAAUUGAAGGCCUGAAUAAAAGUAUAAAGCAUUUUCAGCAAAUGUUUGUACGUACAACACUUUACCCCACAUUGGGGAAACGGUUCCUCUAUUAAAAAAGGACUCUAUUUCAACAUGUUAGACAAAUAGUAAAAGUUGUAACAUAAUAUUCUAAAGGAACUACUGGCAUGUUAGGGAAGGACUCUGAGAAAGUGACACUGAAAUGGAGACCGGAAGGAAAAAUAAGAUUUUAAAGGUCUGAUUUGAGAUAUUACAGUGUUUCUCUGUAGACUGUGAAAUCCCUACAUACUCCUGAAGAGAACCAGUCUCUUUUGCCCACACUAUAAAUCUAUUAAAAGACAUAAAUGUUUAUUAAAAUUAAAAACUAAUCAUGUAAAAAAAACUAAUCAUGUAAUUGAGGACAAGAUUAAGUCUCUUAUCUCUUCUCCCAUAGAGAAUAUUUGCACCAUUUAUGUCAUAUUACAAUUACUUGAGAAUUUGGAAGAGAAUCAAAUGAAAGGACAGAUUUAAGAGUGAAGAGGGAGCCACUGCAAAAGGGGAGUUAAAAGAUUAUAACAAGUGCUUUAAAAAGUGCAAAUAAAAUGUCAGCACUGUCCAUUCAACACAAUAAUUUGGAGGUCCUUAUUAACUUGUUUACAAUUUCAGUGAGAAAAGAACAGUAGGUGGACAUGAGGCUGUAGAUUGUGGAGUUCCUAUCAAGAAGCUUGGUAGAGUAAUGUUGCAUGAAGGAUUUUUGCUGCUUUAAUUUACUAAGGAAGGGAGAGUGUAGAGGGUUUUCAAUACCUUCCCUAAAAAAGAAAAUGUAACUUGUUGAAACUUAUUACUGCAUACCUUAAGCAGUAACUUUUUUUUUUUAAGAUUUUAUUUAUUUAUUUAUUCAUAGAGACAGAGAGAGAGAGAGAGAGGCAGAGACACAGGCAGAGGGAGAAGCAGGAACCAUACAGAGAGCCUGACGAGGGACUUGAUCCGGGGUCUCCAGGAUCACACACCCUGGGAUGCAGGUGGCACUAAACCGCUGCGCCACCAGGGCUGCCCAGUAUCAGUAACUUGUAAUAGUAUUUACUCCAGAUACCUGCAUAUAUAUAACAAAGCUAAGGUUAACACAUUUAUACUUACCACUAAGAAACAACAUUGAAUGUAUAUAAACUCUUAACCUUUAUACUCUGGAGAUGUAAAUCUUUAAGGUAUGAACCAAUUACUUUUGGUCAUUUCUUCCAACUUAGGACUAAGAUUUGAGAACUGAAUUUCUUUUUCCAAAGAAAGAGGUCAGAGAGACAAAGAUCAUUUAAAACAUUUUAUUUUUUAAUAGGUUACCACUUGCAUAAGUCAGUGAUGUUUUCACCUUCUAAGCUGUAUUGUAUUUGUAAUGAUGAAUGUCAGUGAUAACUAAGAAGUUUAAACACCUGUAUAUUCUUUACAGGCCUGACAGUGUGUUUUGCUUACCAAUUUUCUGGCAAUAUCUCUCCUCACUACCUAUUUUCUGUGUGCUGGUUCCUAUGCUGUGACUAAGAAAAUCAGCAGCCUACUUCAGCCUUGUCAGUUCGUACCUCCCUCUAGGCAUAAGAGCAAUUUAGUCUCUUAAUUUUCACUUCUUUCUGGGUGUAUAAAACUCCAGCCUAAAAAAAAAAAAAAAAAAAAAAAAAA